rnacentral:rRNA from 1 species
UACGGGGGGGGCAAGCGUUGUUCGGAAUUACUGGGCGUAAAGGGCUCGUAGGCGGCCAACUAAGUCAGACGUGAAAUCCCCAGGCUUAACCUGGGAACUGCGUCUGAUACUGGAUGGCUUGAAUUCGGGAGAGGGAUGCAGAAUUCCAGGUGUAGCGGUGAAAUGCGUAGAUAUCUGGAGGAACACCGGUGGCGAAGGCGGGUCUCUGGGCCGAUAUCGACGCUGAGGAGCGAAAGCGUGGGGAGCGAACAGG